rnacentral:lncRNA from 1 species
GCCACAAUGCGCGUGUUACGUGCGUAGGUGAUAUAUAUAUAUUAUAUGCUGUGUUAUAUCAAUAAUUAAUUUUGUAACGUAACGUUUAUUAAAUAUAUGUUAUGAUGCAGGGGAGGGGUCGGAGGUUCUGUUUAGCUACCGAGCUUUGGCUCUAGCAGCAGGCAGUAGCUCUAGCUCUGUAUUUCGUACAAUAUCUUUAGUCUUUACUCUGUCUCUGCCUGCUGGCUGGCGAUGUUUGCUACUUUUGCACCGAUAUCUUCGAUGCACUUUAUUGCCUUCACGCACAUGCGCAUCACCCUAUUUGACUUCUCCGCCGAUUUUUUGCUUCUUUCGGUUACCAUUUUAGCGUUACACUCACCCUCUCACUUCUCUUCCUCACAGCCCAUCCAUCAACCGUUGAUUUCAUUUUAAUUUGAU